rnacentral:rRNA from 1 species
AGGAUUAACGCUAGCGGCAGGCCUAAUACAUGCAAGUCGAGGGGCAGCAGGUGUAGCAAUACAUGCUGGCGACCGGCGCACGGGUGCGUAACACGUAUGUAGCCUUUCCUUAACUGGGGAAUAGCUCCGAGAAAUCGGGAUUAAUACCCCAUAACACUGCGAAGUGGCAUCACUUUGCAAUUAAAGCUCAGGCGGUUAAGGGCGGACAUGCGUCCCAUUAGCUAGUUGGCGAGGUAACGGCUCACCAAGGCUACGAUGGGUAGGGGUUCUAAGAGGAUUUACCCCCACACUGGCACUGAGAUACGGGCCAGACUCCUACGGGAGGCAGCAGUAAGGAAUAUUGGUCAAUGGGCGCAAGCCUGAACCAGCCAUGCCGCGUGUAGGAUGAAGGUCCUACGGAUUGUAAACUACUUUUGUACGGGUAAAAACCCUUGUUCUACAAGGGUUGAUGGUACCGUAAGAAUAAGGAUCGGCUAACUCCGCGCCAGCAGCCGC